rfam:Oryza meridionalis cultivar OR44 (W2112) chromosome 1, whole genome shotgun sequence.
AAUAAGCGCAGCCAUAAAUUUCCGUGACCAAUUUUGAUCGUGCGUCUUAUAUAAAUUUUUUUUUAUGAUUAGUAUUUUUUUUUGUUGUUAUUAAAUUAUAAAAUAUAAAUAAUACUCUAUACGUGAUUUAUGUUUUUUAGUUUUUUUUUAAAUAAAUAAAACGAACUAUUAAAGUUAGACACGGAAACUUAUAAUUGUGUGUUUA